GACGAACCGUGCAAACGUUGUUCGGAAUCACUGGGCUUAAAGGGCGCGUAGGCGGGUUCCCAAGUCGGUGGUGAAAUCUUUCGGCCCAACCGGAAAAGUGCCGCCGAUACUGGGAGUCUCGAGGGAGGUAGGGGUCGAUGGAACUUCCGGUGGAGCGGUGAAAUGCGUAGAUAUCAGGAGGAACACCGGCGGUGUAGACGGCUCUCUGGACCAUAACUGACGCUGAGACACGAAAGCGUGGGUAGCAAACAGG
rnacentral:rRNA from 1 species